GGAUAACAGCCGGAAACGGCUGCUAAUACCGCAUAAGCGCACAAGACCGCAUGGUCUGGUGUGAAAAACUCCGGUGGUAUGAGAUGGGCCCGCGUCUGAUUAGCCAGUUGGCGGGGUAGAGGCCCACCAAAGCGACGAUCAGUAGCCGACCUGAGAGGGUGACCGGCCACAUUGGGACUGAGACACGGCCCAAACUCCUACGGGAGGCAGCAGUGGGGAAUAUUGCACAAUGGGGGAAACCCUGAUGCAGCGACGCCGCGUGAGCGAAGAAGUAUUUCGGUAUGUAAAGCUCUAUCAGCAGGGAAGAUAAUGACGGUACCUGACUAAGAAGCCCCGGCUAAAUACGUGCCAGCAGCCGCGGUAAUACGUAGGGGGCAAGCGUUAUCCGGAUUUACUGGGUGUAAAGGGAGCGCAGGCGGUACGGCAAGUCUGAUGUGAAAGCCCAGGGCUCAACCCUGGUACUGCAUUGGAAACUGCCGGACUAGAGUGUCGGAGGGGUAAGUGGAAUUCCUAGUGUAGCGGUGAAAUGCGUAGAUAUUAGGAGGAACACCAGUGGCGAAGGCGGCUUACUGGACGAUGACUGACGCUGAGGCUCGAAAGCGUGGGGAGCAAACAGGAUUAGAUACCCUGGUAGUCCACGCCGUAAACG
rnacentral:rRNA from 1 species